AAGAAUAUGAUGUGAUGCAUGGGUCAUGGUCAUGACUCAGCAUCACAGAGUUUGAAAUUCUGGAGGUGGGUGUUUUGAAAUUGGGCGGUAAGUGUUGAAAGCGAGAGGUUGUUGUCUGUGAUGGUGGUGGACACGGCACUGCUUUCUUUGUUUGGGUUUGGAAUGACUUUUGGGGCUGAUGGGCAUGCCCAAAAAGUCCAAGGGCUGAAGCCCAAUGCAAGGAGUUUUGCUCAGUUGCCUUUCAGGAAUCGAAAAUAUUUGGGGUUGCCUACCUUCCAUGAGAUCUCCAAUUUUGGAUUUGAAAUGACAAUGAAAAUAGUGAUCAGAAAUUGUGAUUUUUGAGGAAGGGAUCUUUCAGAAGAGUAGAACUAUCUGGGUUUCAACAUAUUUUCUGAUUUAGAAGGGUAGAAACUAGACUUUUAUCUGUCUUUUUUUUUUCUACACCAAAUUGGGAAGUCAUGAACCCCAGAUGGAUUUUCUGGGAUUUCAUCUGAUUUCGCACUGCAUUCAAGGGUACCGACUCCAUAAUUCAGAUUUGUCUGUCAUUGGAAAUUGGAACCAUCACCACCACCAACAGUUUUAGGAUGUCAAGAGACAUGGUUCUGUAACCCAUUUCGUGUUGGUUAUAUGCAUUUUCAAGCCAUUCAAGGACCAGGCUCCAAGCAUCACUUUGAUGGAGGGCUGCAAUAAUAGCAGCCUGAAAAGGAAUUUCCAUUAAUAUUCCAUAGCUUUAGGAUCUUUGUUGCUGUGAAUGACAAGCAAAUAAUGCCAAGAAAGAGACGCGUACUCACAAAGAAAUACGGUAUGGAAUCAGAUGAAUAUAAUGAUAAAAACAUGCUCAGAAUUUCCCGUUGUAGUGUGCAGAAGAUGCUUCUCGAAUCAAACCGAGGGAAGGAGUGCUGUUUUGGGGUGGUCUGGCAGAAAAAUUGCUAUAUGAUGGCUUGGUGCUGUUGAGGACAAAGAAGCUGUAGCCGUGGUUCUAUGAAUAAUGAAAUAGCACUUGAAGCUGAACCUGUACUACUAUUAUCUAACCAAAAUUCUUUGGGUCAUAUACCAUUGCUGGGCCGAUUGUCGGUGGUGUGGGUCUUGUGGUUAUUAACAUUGGAGAACCAGAAAUGGCUGGGCCUUCUCAAACGAUGGAAGAAGUUCAAUAUGAUUUCUCCAGUGAGUAUCAUGUCAUGAUAGAGGAGAUACACCAUGAAAGGCUUUUGUCAAAUUGGUACUAUUAUCUGAACAGUAUGGGAAGGGUGUGUUCAUUGGCACUCCAUGCUUAUAUGAUAAGAAUAUCUUGAAAAGAACUCCAAACACCGAUAUUCUCUAUGGAAUCUGUUCAUUCCAAAGAAAGUAUAGAGCAACUUUUGGGGCAAAAUUUAUUUUUAUUCUCUUCUUAGGAAGAGAAUAAGUUUCUCUAUUCCCUCUACUUCUUCAUCUCUUUGAAAGGUAUUUUGGUGCUUCUAAAUGUGGUUUCUCCAAAACAACAUCAAACCCUUUUAAUUGGAAAGGUGUGCAAGUUGAUCCAUUGGACCUAAGCUUGUGUUUCUUCAAUUUUUUGUUUUAGAGCCUUAAGCAUAGCUUGAUGACCUCUUGUAGGGUUAUCUUUUGCUGAUUAGUUGAGUCUCCAUUGAAGUCCCAUGACCUUUCUCUUCUUAUGAUGGAGUUUACAAUUGAAUUUCCUGUUGACUGUUUCUUUUCCUCGUUUUCUUUCAUUACUAUUUGAGAUUCUUAUUAAUUAUAGGAGAUUUAUCCAUAGUUUGCUACCAUAUAGAGUCCAGAAAGUAUCACUUCCAAACAAACUGGCAUUUCAAUCCUUGGGUCAGUGCUUAGUGGUAAUGCUCAUUUUGCUUCUCCUCACUCUUAGAGAGACUAAUUCAUCUCUGCAAUUGCCCAUUAUUACUUUGAGUGAAUUGUGAAUAUGAAAGCCCGUAGUUCCAUUCCUUAAAUCCUUUACAUCUGUUGCUUUUUAUCCAAUUGUGAUACAUCUGAGAGCAUUUUUAAGUUAUUAACAAUUCACAGCAUUUUUACCUGACCAGUUGGGGUUUGCAACACAAAUUCUCCAAAUCCAGUUUUCUUAGAAGCAAAAUCUUCAUUAUAUGUGCAAAACUUGAGUUAUUAGAAUCUAUCCACAUCCAUUUAAGCUCCAUUAUGCCAUUUCUCCUCGCUGAGUAUGCAUUUUUCUUUGAAUUUUGAAUAAGCUUAAUUGCUGUCAGAAUCUCACUCACUGUUUAAGGCACAUGGCAUCCUUUAGGAUCAAAUUCAUGCACACUUGUUUGGAAAUAACCAUUUUGUAGCAUUCUCUCAGUUCACUGUAACUAGACUGUCAUCAUCCCAACGAAUGAAGUCUUCCUGAGGAUUUCCAGAAUGUGUGUGGAAGGACAUUGGCUGCCAAAGGGCAGCUUAAUAAGAUUGUAAGCACACUUGGCUUCCUGCCCUCCACCCUUUGGUGCAUUGCAGAGUAUGAGAAGCAAAUACUAGAGCUAUUGUUCUUUAAUUUGAAAUAUAUAUAAUAUUGACCUUUGAGUUUGUUCUUUAUCUAUUUACAGCUUGAUUUUGGAACCUGAAAUUGCAAAUUUCAUGGUCACCAUCAUUCUUGUUUCUAUUCAAAAUGUCUGGCUACCGAGUAUGUAAAGUGUGUUAUAACCAUGUAGUGUAAUUGUUGGCACCUAGGGGUAUGUAUUGAAUGAUGACCAUGCAGCUUGAAAAGAGAUGUUAUCUGUGCAGAGGAAAAAAUUGAGUCUGUUUUCAUCAGUUUCAUAUUCAUGGUACAUCUUCCAUGUUAGAAUUUCUUCAAUGAAGAUUGCUGAAUUUUAAAGUU